rnacentral:rRNA from 1 species
AGCGAACGUUGGUGGCGUGCUUAACACAUGCAAGUCGAACGCGAAAGAAGACUUCGGUCUUUGAGUAGAGUGGCGCACGGGUGAGUAACACGUGAGUAACGUACCCUCAAGUGGGGAAUAACUACUCGAAAGGGUAGCUAAUACCGCAUAAGACCACAGCGACUUAUGUUGCAGUGGUAAAAGCUUUAUGUGCUUGAGGAUCGGCUCGCGGUCCAUUAGGUAGUUGGUGGGGUAAAGGCCUACCAAGCCCGAGAUGGAUAGCUGGUCUGAGAGGAUGAUCAGCCACACUGGAACUGAGACACGGUCCAGACUCCUGCGGGAGGCAGCAGUGGGGAAUAUUGCGCAAUGGGCGAAAGCCUGACGCAGCAACGCCACGUGUGUGAUGAAGGCCCUUGGGUCGUAAAGCACUGUUAGGAGGGAAGAAUUUUGACGGUACCUCCAGAGAAAGCACCGGCUAACUCCG